rnacentral:rRNA from 1 species
UGGGGAAUAUUGCACAAUGGGCGCAAGCCUGAUGCAGCCAUGCCGCGUGUGUGAAGAAGGCCUUCGGGUUGUAAAGCACUUUCAGCGAGGAGGAAGGUGGUGAACUUAAUACGUUCAUCAAUUGACGUUACUCGCAGAAGAAGCACCGGCUAACUCCGUGCCAGCAGCCGCGGUAAUACGGAGGGUGCAAGCGUUAAUCGGAAUUACUGGGCGUAAAGCGCACGCAGGCGGUUUGUUAAGUCAGAUGUGAAAUCCCCGGGCUCAACCUGGGAACUGCAUUUGAAACUGGCAAGCUAGAGUCUCGUAGAGGGGGGUAGAAUUCCAGGUGUAGCGGUGAAAUGCGUAGAGAUCUGGAGGAAUACCGGUGGCGAAGGCGGCCCCCUGGANGAAGACUGACGCUCAGGUGCGAAAGCGUGGGGAGCAAACAGAUUAGAUACCCUGGUAGUCACGCUGUAAACGAUGUCGAUUUUGGAGGUUGUGCCCUNAGGCGUGGUUCCGGAGCUAACGNGUUAAAUCGACCGCC